GACGAACGCUGGCGGCGUGCUUAACACAUGCAAGUCGAACGGUGAAGCGCCUUCCUUUUUGGUGGGUGUGGAUGAGUGGCGAACGGGUGAGUAACACGUGAGUAACCUGCCCCCUUCUUCUGGAUAACCGCAUGAAAGUGUGGCUAAUACGGGAUAUUCUGGGUCUGUCGCAUGAUGGGUCUGGGAAAGAUAUUGUUUCGGUGGGGGAGGGGCUCGCGGCCUAUCAGCUUGUUGGUGGGGUGAUGGCCUACCAAGGCGGUGACGGUUAGCCGGCCUGGGAGGGUGGACGGUCACACUGGGACUGAGACACGGUCCAGACUCCUACGGGAGGCAGCAGUGGGGAAUAUUGCACAAUGGGCGCAAGCCUGCUGCAGCGGCGCCGCGUGAGGGAUGGAGGCCUUCGGGUUGUGAACCUCUUUCGCCAGUGAAGCAGGCCUGCCUCGUUUGUGGGUGGGUUGACGGUAGCUGGAUAAGAAGCGCCGGCUAACUACGUG
rnacentral:rRNA from 1 species